rnacentral:lncRNA from 1 species
AUAUGAUCCAUGGAUGCACAGAGGGCCUUUGUACUUUGCUGGAGAAAAGCGUGCACACUAGACGGACUCAUCUCCCAUGGAAUCUGCUGACAGAUCUCUCUGGGGACCCCUGGGCAGCUAUGUAUCCAGCACCACCAGUGUCUCCCCAUUUCUGUGUCUUCUUAGAAGAUCUGACAACCCAGCAUACCUCUUCCUGAUGUUCUGGAUCUGCUGGCUCUGUAAACUAUAAAUUGGCAAACUAGAUUAAUCAAAGAGGAAGCUUUCUGCAUGUGUGCUAACAGUCCCAACUCUCUAAUCUCACAAGGCACCAAUGUGACACUUCUUGCUAAAGAAUGUGGUUAUUAAUAUAUCUGUCUUUGGUUUUCUUUUCUGCUCUUGGAGUGGAAAGCCCCUAGAGAAAUAGUUCCUAAAAGAAUUUAUAAUAUACUUGCUGGAGAAAUAAGAUUUAAGAGGGCAGCCUUUCACAUCAAAGUUUCAGCAUAUGGUAAUGAAGGUUUCUGUUCAGACAGGUGGAGGAGGAGCUGCCUACAUUUCCUGCGGGGGGCGGAGGGGAAGUAGGCAUGUCGGUGAGUCCUGGGCUCUCAGACUUUGCUUAUCAUAUUGUAACAGCUGACCUUGGUCCCCUUUUUGGCUCUGUCUCUAACCCACAGGUCAGCCUAGGAUGUCACUGAUUCAAUUUAUUUCAAUGUCAGGUUGUCCCAUAGGCAUUUUAACAGCCAAGGUGCCUAAUAAAUAGUGCACUGUGACUAUCAUUGUUUUUCUUGAAUUAAAAAGCCCACCGUGGAGGUGAGUACGUGGAGCCUCUCCUAACUCCAGCUUCCAUAAGCAG